rnacentral:rRNA from 1 species
AACUGAAGAGUUUGAUCAUGGCUCAGAUUGAACGCUGGCUGCAGGCUUAACACAUGCAAGUCGAGCGGGGGAAGGUAGCUUGCUACUGGACCUAGCGGCGGACGGGUGAGUAAUGCUUAGGAAUCUGCCUAUUAGUGGGGGACAACAUCUCGAAAGGGAUGCUAAUACCGCAUACGUCCUACGGGAGAAAGCAGGGGAUCUUCGGACCUUGCGCUAAU